AUAACUGUGGUAAUUCUAGAGCUAAUAUUUUAAAGAAUGCCGUGACUCACGAAGCGGCGGAUUUAUUAGAUCAAAACUAAUCUGUCGCAAGACAGAAAUUUGAUGACUCUGGAUAACUUUACUGAUCGUACAACGUUAGUUGACGACAAAUCUCUUGAAAUGGCUGACCUAUCAACUUUAGAUGGUAAGAUCAAAGCUUACCAUGGUUGUAACGGGUAACGGGGAAUCAGUGUUCGAUUCCGGAGAGGGAGCCUGAGAAACGGCUACCACAUCCACGGAAGGCAGCAGGCGCGAAAAUUACCCAAUACCGGUUCGGUGAGGUAGUGACAAUAAAUAACAAUAUGGGCCCUUAGUGGUUUCAUAAUUGCAAUGAGAUUAUUUUAAAUACUUUUUCAAGUAUCAAUUGGAGGGCAAGUCUGGUGCCAGCAGCCGCGGUAAUUCCAGCUCCAAAAGCGUAUAUUAAAGUUGUUGCAGUUAAAAAGCUCGUAGUUGAAAUUGGGGAAAUGAUUUAAUGAACCGUCUAUGAUGGAUUGUUUUAUCUUCCUUCGUCGUCGUGUAUAUUGUGAAGUCACUUUAUUGGGAUUUUGCAGUAACCGACAAGUUUACUUUGAAAAAAUUAGAGUGCUUAAAGCAGGCUUACGCUUGUAUAUUGUUGCAUGGAAUAAUGAAAUAAGACUUUGGUUUUAUUUUGUUGGUUUUCGAAACUAAAGUAAUGAUUAAAAGAGACUGCCGGGGGCAUAUGUAUGCUGGUGCUAGAGGUGAAAUUCUUAGACCAUCAGCAGACAAUCUACU
rnacentral:rRNA from 1 species